UACGUAGGCAGCGAGCGUUGUUCGGAGUUACUGGGCGUAAAGGGUGUGUAGGCGGUCUUCUAAGUUUGGUGUGAAAUCUCCCGGCUCAACUGGGAGGGUGCGCCGAAAACUGGGAGGCUAGAGUGCGGGAUGGGAGAGUGGAAUUCCUGGUGUAGCGGUGAAAUGCGUAGAUAUCAGGAGGAACACCGGUGGCGAAGGCGGCUAUCUGGACAGAAACUGACGCUGAGGCGCGAAAGCUAGGGGAGCAAACAGGAUUGAGAAACCC
rnacentral:rRNA from 1 species